rnacentral:tRNA from 1 species
GGGCGUGUAGCUCAGUUGGCUAGAGCGCCUGCCUUACAAGCAGGAUGUCAGGGGUUCAAGUCCCUUCCCGCCCA